rnacentral:rRNA from 1 species
UGCGUAGGCGGGUCUUUAAGUCAGUGGUGAAAUCCUGCAGCUCAACUGUAGAAUUGCCAUUGAAACUGAAGGUCUUGGAUAUGGACGAGGUAGGCGGAAUGAGUUAUGUAGCGGUGAAAUGCAUAGAUAUAACUCAGAACACCAAUUGCGUAGGCAGCUUACCAGGCCAUUAUUGACGCUGAGGCACGAAAGCGUGGGUAGCGAACAGGAUUAGAUACCCUGGUAGUCC